UAACUGUAGGUGAACCUGCAGUUGGAUCAUUGCAAGGCACUGAUGCCGUAAGGUAUGGGUUGCUUGUGGCGAAGCCCUUGGCCGAGCCACCAACCCCCGGACGAACUCGGAUGCUGGCACUUUUGCGAGCCGAGUGAGUCGGAGCCCGGGAAGUGCGGGGGCUUUGGCCCUGCAGCACACCCGCACGGAGUUGCCGCACAACUCACAACUGGCGACGAUCGAUGUCUCGGCUCCC
rnacentral:misc_RNA from 1 species